GAUGAAGAACGCAGCGAAAUGCGAUAAUUAAUGUGAAUUGCAGAAUUCCGUGAAUCAUCGAGUCUUUGAACGCACAUUGCGCCUCAUGGCAUUCCGUGAGGCAUGCCCAUCUCAGCGUUAGAAAAUAUUCUCAAAUUUUAGUUUUGUGCUAAAAUUUGGAUCAUGUCAAGGAAGCUAUUACUAUUAUUGUGAUCGCUCUUUGGAAAUUGAUAGGUCUUUGAGUUGCUACUCAUAGAACGUGAUGAAUCUUUCUUCGUUCUAUUGUAAUUCACUCUGGUAGUCCUAAAACUUGGAUGCCUGUGGCAUAUCUUGUAAUUUGACCUGAGAUUGGGUAGGGAUACCCGCUGAACUUAAGCAUAUCAAUAAGCGGAGGA
rnacentral:misc_RNA from 1 species